CGGCAGCAGGCCCCGCCCCCCGCCCGGGGACACGCCUAGGAGGGCGGGGCUCCUGCACGCAGACACCGGGUUUCCGGCUCGCCCGCGCGCGCGGCUUUCCCAGCCCGAAGGCAGUGCAGAAGCUGGGGUUCGUUUCCCGAGCUUGCGAUGUUCGCGUCACAGAAGGGAAUGUUAGAACCCCCAGGGAAGUGGUAAGGACAGCAGUUCUGCUGCCACCCACAUGGAUUGACUCCCAGUUGGGCUAGUUUUCCCAUCGAAAAAAAUGAAGACAGUUCCUCUCUGGCAGUUGUGGAAACAGAACUUUAGGAGCCCCCUUUUCGAUUGGGCGCGGUGGCUGGCUCCUGUAAUUCCCGCGACAUGAGAGGUUGAGGCUAGAGGAUCGCAAAUUCGAGGCCAGCCAUGGCACUUUAGUGAGACAGGAUAUAGCUCAGUGGUAUAGCGCCCUGGGUUCUAUUCCCAGUUCAGCAUAAACAAAAAAACUCUUUAAUUUAGCCGUGACUGGAAAACAAUGGGGGCUAACAUUACAAAUCCUCAGUUAAGACUUCAAUAAUGAACGGCGAGAGAACGGAUUUUGACCCAGGGUGAGA
rnacentral:lncRNA from 1 species